rnacentral:rRNA from 1 species
UACGUAGGGGGCAAGCGUUGUCCGGAUUCAUUGGGCGUAAAGAGCGUGUAGGCGGCCAGGUAGGUCGGUUGUGAAAACUGGAGGCUCAACCUUCAGAGGUCGACCGAAACCAUCUGGCUAGAGUCCGGGAGAGGAGAGUGGAAUUCCUGGUGUAGCGGUGAAAUGCGCAGAUAUCAGGAAGAACACCCGUGGCGAAAGCGGCCACCUGGACUGCACCUGACGCUGACACGCGAAAGCUAGGGGAGCGAACGGG